AUAUCAAUAAGCGGAGGAAAAGAAACCAACAGGGAUUGCCCUAGUAACGGCGAGUGAAGCGGCAACAGCUCAAAUUUGAAAUCUGGCUCUCGGGCCCGAGUUGUAAUUUGUAGAGGAUGCUUUUGGUGAGGUGCCUUCCGAGUUCCCUGGAACGGGACGCCAUAGAGGGUGAGAGCCCCGUCUGGUUGGACACCGAUCCUCUGUAAAGCUCCUUCGACGAGUCGAGUAGUUUGGGAAUGCUGCUCUAAAUGGGAGGUAUAUGUCUUCUAAAGCUAAAUAUUGGCCAGAGACCGAUAGCGCACAAGUAGAGUGAUCGAAAGAUGAAAAGCACUUUGAAAAGAGAGUUAAAAAGUACGUGAAAUUGUUGAAAGGGAAGCGCUUGUGACCAGACUUGGGCUUGGUUGAUCAUCCAGGGUUCUCCCUGGUGCACUCUUCCAGCCCAGGCCAGCAUCAGUUUGCUUCGGGGGAUAAAGGCGUCGGGAAUGUGGCACCCUCCGGGGUGUGUUAUAGCCCGUCGUGUAAUACCCUGGGGCAGACUGAGGUUCGCGCAUCUGCAAGGAUGCUGGCGUAAUGGUCAUCAGCGACCCGUCUUGAAACACGGACCAAGGAGUCGUCUUCGUAUGCGAGUGUUCGGGUGUCAAACCCCUACGCGUAAUGAAAGUGAACGCAGGUGAGAGCUUCGGCGCAUCAUCGACCGAUCCUGAUGUUCUCGGAUGGAUUUGAGUAAGAGCAUACGGGGCCGGACCCGAAAGAAGGUGAACUAUGCCUGUAUAGGGUGAAGCCAGAGGAAACUCUGGUGGAGGCUCGCAGCGGUUCUGACGUGCAAAUCGAUCGUCAAAUAUGGGCAUGGGGGCGAAAGACUAAUCGAACCUUCUAGUAGCUGGUUUC
rnacentral:rRNA from 1 species